UUAACGUUUACCGAGCCAGGAUGAGGAGGUGAAGCUAUGUCAAGCCGGGUGUAGAUAGUUGGGAUAAGUGCAUGUCCACGGCUUUCUUAAAUAGACCACGGUAUCGAUCACAGAUUUACUGAUGCAGAGAUAGAGAAGACGCGUUCAGCAUAUUUUUCAACUAAUUAUGGAAAGUUAUGAGGAGGUAAAGCAUAUAAUAUGCAGAAAAGGAAAUACGACUGCUGUUAUUAAACAGAGAGAAAAAGCCUGGCAGACAAUAGCGGACCGACUGAAUGCACAGCUCCAGACUUCACCCCAGCUGAGGAAAUGGCCCUUGAUUUAAACCAAGGAAGGCCUGUGAUGGAAGGGAUUCAGGGUGGGACAGCUACAGGCUCUGUUCCACCUGCAGAUACUGCCCUCUUCAUACAAGUGUCCGGCGACACAGUCACUCUCGUGCCACCAGACGAUGAUCCAGUGAGUAUUUAUUAAAAGCAUAUGGCUUGGCACAUCCUGUCAAUACAAAUUCUAUUUAAUAUGGCAGGGGGAAGGGGCUUCUGCAGCAUGGGAAGGGGCUGCUGCAGCUGAUGAUGAGACUGUGUCACUGGACUCCAGAAGGCCUGAGGUAUCAUGUCAGUCUUAUGGAAAUGCAUAUGUUGCCCAUAAUGGAUGAGAAGUCAGUGAUAUAACACUCAGAAAUGUAUGUAACAGGAUCCAGACACAGUACAGUCUGACAGCCAGCCUGGCAACAUAGUAAGUAUGGGCUAAUGGAAAUCUAAAUUAUGCACAAUUCCUGCUAUGCUAAUCAAUGGGUGGUUUACAGAAUUCACAAACUGUAAGAUGUCUGUAUACACAACAUCUGAAAAAGCAAAUAGAGCUGGCAGAUGCACAGAUUGCUGUAAGCAAAAGGACUCCCCAGGAUCUGGACCUUGGUAUAGAAAUCAAGAAGAAAACAC